rnacentral:rRNA from 1 species
AACGAACGCUGGCGGCAUGCCUAACACAUGCAAGUCGAACGAACCCUUCGGGGUUAGUGGCGCACGGGUGCGUAACGCGUGGGGAUCUGCCCAAAGGUUCGGAAUAACUCAGAGAAAUUUGAGCUAAUACCGGAUAAUGUCUUCGGACCAAAGAUUUAUUGCCUUUGGAUGAACCCGCGUAGGAUUAGCUUGUUGGUGGGGUAAAGGCCUACCAAGGCGACGAUCCUUAGCUGGUCUGAGAGGAUGAUCAGCCACACUGGGACUGAGACACGGCCCAGACUCCUACGGGAGGCAGCAGUGGGGAAUAUUGGACAAUGGGCGAAAGCCUGAUCCAGCAAUGCCGCGUGAGUGAUGAAGGCCUUAGGGUUGUAAAGCCCUUUUACCAGGGAUGAUAAUGGCAGUACCUGGAGAAUAAGCUCCGGCUAACUCCGUG